rnacentral:rRNA from 1 species
UGAGGAAUAUUGGUCAAUGGGCGCAAGCCUGAACCAGCCAUCCCGCGUGCAGGAAGACGGCGCUAUGCGUUGUAAACUGCUUUUCCAGGGGGAGAAACUUGCGCACGUGUUGCGCAAUUGACGGUACCCUGGGAAUAAGCAUCGGCUAACUCCGUGCCAGCAGCCGCGGUAAUACGGAGGUUGCGAGCGUUAUCCGGAUUCAUUAGGUUUAAAGGGUGCGUAGGCGGACUAUUAAGUCAGUGGUGAAAUCCUGCAGCUUAACUGCAGAACUGCCAUUGAUACUGAUAGCCUUGAGUUUGGUUAAGGUAGGCGGAAUGUGUAAUGUAGCGGUGAAAUGCUUAGAUAUUACACAGAACACCAAUUGCGUAGGCAGCUUACUGAGCCGACACUGACGCUGAGGCACGAAAGCGUGGGGAUCGAACAG